rnacentral:rRNA from 1 species
GGAUAACUACUGGAAACGGUGGCUAAUACCGCAUAACGUCGCAAGACCAAAGAGGGGGACCUUCGGGCCUCUUGCCAUCAGAUGUGCCCAGAUGGGAUUAGCUUGUUGGUGAGGUAACGGCUCACCAAGGCGACGAUCCCUAGCUGGUCUGAGAGGAUGACCAGCCACACUGGAACUGAGACACGGUCCAGACUCCUACGGGAGGCAGCAGUGGGGAAUAUUGCACAAUGGGCGCAAGCCUGAUGCAGCCAUGCCGCGUGUAUGAAGAAGGCCUUCGGGUUGUAAAGUACUUUCAGCGGGGAGG